CAAUAGCGUAUAUUUAAGUUGUUGCAGUUAAAAAGCUCGUAGUCGGAUUUUGGCUGAGAACGAUCGGUCCGCCGUUAGGUGUGCACUGAUUGGUCUCAGCUUCCUGGUGAGGAGGUGUGCUUCACGGCCACUUAGUCACCGUGGUUACUUUGAAAAAAUUAGAGUGUUCAAAGCGGGCUUACGCUUGAAUAUAUUAGCAUGGAAUAACACCAUAGGACUCCUGUCCUAUUUCGUUGGUCUCGGGACGGGAGUAAUGAUUAAGAGGAACAGUUGGGGGCAUUCGUAUUUCAUUGUCAGAGGUGAAAUUCUUGGAUUUAUGAAAGACGAACUUCUGCGAAAGCAUUUGCCAAGGGUGUUUUCAUUGA
rnacentral:rRNA from 1 species